UAGUUGUGAGGAAAAAAGGAUUAUUUCGAUUCUGUUUGAUCAAAAUUCUGUAAGGUACUGUUUGGUCAUAAUUCUGUGUGUCUUAACUAU